UGGGGGAUAAUUAAUUAAUAAAUAAAUAAUAAAAAAAUUUUUAUAGUUAAAAUAUUUAAUGGGGGUUAAAGUAUUUUAAUGGGAAAAAAUUUUUAGUUUUAUAGGGUAUUAGUAUUGUGGGGGAAUUUUGAAAUAUUUGAAAUAAAUGAAUUAUUUUAAAAGUAUUUUUUAUUUAGAGUAUCUUGGGUAUCAGAGUUUAUUAAUAAAAAUUUUUGGGGGAAAAUUUCUCGAAUUUAAAAGAGAGAAUUAAUUAAUAAAUUUAUUGUUGCAAAAAUAUUUUAAAUAAUUAAUUUGAAAUGAAAUGUUAAUCGUUUUUAAAUAUAUCUAGUUUUUUUAGAAAAAAGUUUAAUUUUAAAUUUUUAAGAAAUUUAAAUUAUUUGUUAUUUAAUUUUUUGUAAAAUUUUUAUAUUUUAGGGGAUAAGCUUUAAAUUAAAUUUAUAUAAAUUAUUUUAUUUUAUUUUGAAAUUUUUAUAAUUUAUAUUGUUAAUAAAUUUUAAUUUAUUAUAAAAUAAUUUCAUUUAUAAUUAAAAUUUAAUUUGAUUUUAUAUUUUUAUAAAAAAAUAUUUUUUAAUAAGAAAAAUUUAGUUAUAAUGGUAAAAUUAGUAUAUAAUUAUUUAAUAAGUAUUUGAUAAUAAAAAUUAAUAAAUAAUUUUAAGGAAUUAGGCAAAAAUUUAUAUUCACUUGUUUAUCAAAAACAUGUCCUUUUGAUAAUAAUUUAAGGUUUGAUCUGCCCACUGAUUAUAAUUAAAGGGCUGCAGUAUUUUGACUGUACAAAGGUAGCAUAAUCAAUAGUCAUUUAAUUGAUGACUUGAAUGAAUGAUUGGAUGAAAUAUAAGCUGUCUUAGGAUUAAAUAAAUAGAAUUUAAUUUUUUAAUUAAAAAGUUAAAAUAUUUUAAAAAGACGAGAAGACCCUAUAGAGUUUUAUAUUUAUUUAAAUAAGUAAUAUUUUUAAAAUUAAUUUUAAUAUUUAAAUUAAAUAUUUGAUUGGGGUGAUUAAAAAAUAUAAAGAACUUUUUUUUGUUUAAAACGUAAAUUAUUGAAUUUAUGAUCCAAUAUUAUUGAUUAUAAGAAAAAAUUACCUUAGGGAUAACAGCGUAAUUUUUUUUUUUAGUUCAUAUAAAAAGAAAAGUUUGCGACCUCGAUGUUGGAUUAAGAUAAAAUUUAAAUGUAGAAGUUUAAGGUUUUGAUCUGUUCGAUCAUUAAAAUCUUACAUGAUCUGAGUUCAAACCGGUGUGAGCCAGGUUGGUUUCUAUCUUUUAAUAUAUAAAAUAUUUUAGUACGAAAGGAAUAAAUAUUUAAAUUAAAUUUAUAUUUAGAAUUUUAUUAAUUUAAUUUUAAAAUUUAUUAUUUUUGUUAUUUAUUUAUUUAUAGUUAAAAUUU
rnacentral:rRNA from 1 species